rnacentral:rRNA from 1 species
UACGGAGGGUGCGAGCGUUGUCCGGAAUCACUGGGCGUAAAGGGCGCGUAGGCGGCGCGGAAAGUCAACGGUGAAAGCUUGGGGCUCAACCCCGAGUCGGCCGUCGAUACUUCCGUGCUCGAGCACUGUAGAGGCAGGUGGAAUUCCGGGUGUAGCGGUGGAAUGCGUAGAGAUCCGGAAGAACACCGGUGGCGAAGGCGGGUC